rnacentral:rRNA from 1 species
GUGUCAGCAGCCGCGGUAAUACGUAGGCAGCGAGCGUUGUUCGGAGUUACUGGGCGUAAAGGGUGUGUAGGCGGUUGUUUAAGUUUGGUGUGAAAUCUCCCGGCUCAACUGGGAGGGUGCGCCGAAUACUGAAUGACUUCGAGUGCGGGAGAGGAGAGUGGAAUUCCUGGUGUAGCGGUGAAAUGCGUAGAUAUCAGGAGGAACACCGGUGGUGUAGACGGCUCUCUGGACCGUAACUGACGCUGAGACACGAAAGCGUGGGUAGCAAACAGGAUUAGAUACCCUGGUAGUCCACGCCCUAAACGAUGCAUAUUUGGUGUGGGCAGUUCAUUCUGUCCGUGCCGGAGCUAACGCGUUAAAUAUGCCGCCUGGGGAGUACAGUCGCAAGGCUGAA